UCCUAGCAAUGUGUGUUUUGUAGUUGUGGGAUCGCUGAUUUAUUUUGAUUUAUCUGAAUAUCGGUCUUACAUUUCAGUCUAAAUCUAAUCAAAAUGCAUGAACACGUGUACGUAAAACCACAGUCAGCAUGCAUUUUCUAAGUUAAGGGAAGAAGUGAAAACCAUUCACAAUGGAGCAGAGUAGAGGCAUGAAGCGGUUAUAUGUUGGUGGUCUGAACCACUCAAUCUCUCACACCGAACUCCAACAAAGGUUUGCGAAAUUCGGACAUGUGUCAGACGUGGAUAUUGUUACCAGAAAAGACGAGGUUCCAGACCAUAAGGACUGGGUUGUAAGUAAAUUUGGAUGGGUCCUUCCAGUUCUUCGACUUAAAAACCAAGGCAAUAAAAAGAU